GACGAACGCUGGCGGUGUGCUUAACACAUGCAAGUCGAACGGUAAGGCCCUUUCGGGGGUACACGAGUGGCGAACGGGUGAGUAACACGUGAGUAACCUGCCCUCAUCUCUGGGAUAACAGUCGGAAACGGUUGCUAAUACUGGAUAUGAGCUUGCAAGGCAUCUUGUGGGUUGGAAAGAUUUUUUUGGUUGGGGAUGGACUCGCGGCCUAUCAGCUUGUUGGUGAGGUAGUGGCUCACCAAGGCUUCGACGGGUAGCCGGCCUGAGAGGGCGAACGGCCACAUUGGGACUGAGAUACGGCCCAAACUCCUACGGGAGGCAGCAGUGGGGAAUAUUGCACCAUGGACGGAAGUCUGAUGCAGCAACGCCGCGUGCGGGAUGACGGCCUUCGGGUUGUAAACCGCUUUCAAUUGUGACGAAGCUUUUUGUGACGGUAGCAGUAGAAGAAGCACCGGCUAACUACGUG
rnacentral:rRNA from 1 species